GCACGGAUGGCCGAGUGGUCUAAGGCGCCACACUCAAGGUUUCACUUGCCACGUGAAAACGGUUGUGCAUUCUGGCACUCGUAAGGGUGCGUGGGUUGAAAUCCCACUCCGUGCA
rfam:Angiostrongylus costaricensis strain Costa Rica genome assembly, scaffold: ACOC_contig0002178